rnacentral:rRNA from 1 species
GACGAACCGUGCGAACGUUGUCCGGAAUCAUUGGGCGUAAAGAGCGUGUAGGCGGCCCGGUAAGUCCGCUGUGAAAGUCAAAGGCUCAACCUUUGAAUGUCAGCGGAUACUGCCGGGCUAGAGUCCGGAAGAGGCGAGUGGAACUCCUGGUGUAGCGGUGGAAUGCGCAGAUAUCAGGAAGAACACCAACGGCGAAGGCAGCUCGCUGGGACGGAACUGACGCUAAGGCGCGAAAGCGUGGGGAGCGAACAGG